GAUGAACGCUGGCGGCGUGUCUAAGGCAUGCAAGUCGAACGGACUGUUAUUUGUAGCAAUACUUAGAACAGUUAGUGGCAAACGGGUGCGUAACACAUUGGUAACCUGCCUCAAAGUCGGGCAUAAUCCCGCGAAAGUGGGACUAAUUCCACGAUAGUCAUCGAAGGUGAGAUUCCUUCGAUGUAAAGUCGCAAGACGCUUUGAGAGGGGCCUAUGGCCUAUCAGCUUGUUGGUGAGGUAACGGCUCACCAAGGCUAUGACGGGUAGGGGGUGUGAGAGGAUGAUCAGCAACACUGGGACUGAGACACGGCCCAGACUCCUACGGGAGGCAGCAGUGGGGAAUCUUAGACAAUGGGCGCAAGCCUGAUCUAGCCAUGCCGCGUGGACGAUGAAGGCCUUAGGGUUGUAAAGUCCUUUCAGAUGGGAAGAUAAUGACGGUACCAUCAGAAGAAGCCCCGGCUAACUCCGUGCCAGCAGCCGCGGU
rnacentral:rRNA from 1 species